rnacentral:sRNA from 1 species
AUGGUAUUUUUGAUACGCUACCUUUUUAAUUUGCAGGUGUCCUUCCAUAGAUUCCCCAAAUUGGAGGAAGUCUACCGGAAGUGGAUAAUUGCUAUCAAGCGUGACGAAGGCACAUCAUUCAAGGUGUCGAAGGCAACCAAAGUGUGCUCGAGGCACUUCGUAGAAAGUGACUUUGUGCGGAAUGUGGCUAACGGGCACAGGCUGCUUUAUGAGCAUGCUGUGCCGUCAUUGUUCAGCUUUAAGAAGCCACAAGUUGUCAGGAAGCCUCCAAAACAGAGAACGUCAACUGUACCACAAGCAAUGCAACCCGAAGCAGACUUGCUACAACCCGAAGCAGACCUGCAACAAUCAGAAGACACCACCACUGCCCCCGAGCUGCCAGAUGAAGAUCCUGGAGCGAGCCCAGUGCCCAUGGAACCGCCAGUCUGCAUGUGCAGUUUGGAGCCCGAGCUCGAAUUAAGGAGGGUAGCAGAGAGGAAGCUGCACAGUGAAAUCGAAUUGCUGCGAAAUGAACUGAAAGAAACCAAGGUCGAAGUGUACCGACUGAAAGCCGAGCUCCAAAGAGCUCUAGCAAACUGCAAGGUGCUAGAGGAGAAAAAUGUGCCUUUCAGCGUUGAAAAAUUCCAAGAGAGCGACGAGGACAUUCAGUUUUACACCGGACUACCCAAUUAUGGUACCUUCAUUGCUUUCCUCGAGCUCAUUGACGCUGGAGAGAAUGGUAAAAAUAUUAUUAUGCGAUCCGGAGUUAGCUUGCAUGCUUCAGAAAAGGCUGGGGGGCCACGUAAGCUAUCGGCAAAGAAUCGGCUGUUUCUUGUUCUGGUUAAGUUGAAAGGUGGCAUGUUCCAUAAACACCUGGGACAUUUGUUCGACAUUUCAGUAAGUACUGUGUCGAAACUGUUCAGCGCGUGGAUGAGCUUUUUGUAUCUCCAUCUCACGAACCUGGCUCUCUGGCUACCACGAGAGACAAUCGACGGCACUAUGCCACCAGCUUUCAGGGAAAAGUAUCCGACAACUCGAGUCAUCUUAGAUGCCACAGAGAUUAGGUGUGAGGUGACAAGCUCGUUUGUGACUUAGUUGGGGACGUACUCGUACUACAAAUCUACGAACACGUUUAAGGGCCUGGUGGGCAUUUCACCCAACGGCCUGGUGACAUUUGUGUCCGAGCUUUUUAUGGGUUCCGUUUCUGACAAAGAGACUGUCAUCCAGAGUGGCCUUCUUGAGAUGCCCUUUGAUAAGGGCGAUUCUGUCAUGGCCGACAAGGGCUUUAAGAUUGCCGACCUCCUCCAAAAACUUGGCGUAGCACUCAACAUUCCUCCAUUUUUGAAUCGAGGCAAGUUCUCCACCGAGGAAGUCGUAGAAACACAGGACAUCGCUGCCCUCCGGAUUUACGUUGAACGCCGAAUCCAGAGAAUUAAGUCCUUCCACAUUUUCGACUGCCCUAUUCCCAUCUCGUUGGCACCCCUUGCCAACCAAAUAUGGACUGUAUGCACAGUCCUCACUAACAUGCAGUCCCCACUCAUCAGAGACAGUGAGUAA